rnacentral:rRNA from 1 species
GUGAGGAAUAUUGGUCAAUGGGCGCAAGCCUGAACCAGCCAUCCCGCGUGCAGGAAGACGGCGCUAUGCGUUGUAAACUGCUUUUCCAGGGAGAGAAACUUGCGCACGUGUUGCGCAAUUGACGGUACCCUGGGAAUAAGCAUCGGCUAACUCCGUGCCAGCAGCCGCGGUAAUACGGAGGAUGCGAGCGUUAUCCGGAUUCAUUGGGUUUAAAGGGUGCGUAGGCGGACUAUUAAGUCAGUGGUGAAAUACUGCAGCUUAACUGCAGAACUGCCAUUGAUACUGAUAGCCUUGAGUUUGGUUAAGGUAGGCGGAAUGUGUAAUGUAGCGGUGAAAUGCUUAGAUAUUACACAGAACACCAAUUGCGUAGGCAGCUUACUGAGCCGACACUGACGCUGAGGCACGAAAGCGUGGGGAUCGAACAGGAUUAGAAACCCUUGUAGUCC